ensembl:lncRNA
AUAAAUGAGAGACACCUGUGAGCUGAGCUGCUGCUAACAAAGGAAGCAUGAAGAACAAUAGAGAGAAGUGGCAAAAAAGACAACCAGUAGACUUUUACAAGAACUGUACAGCUUCUGGUCAACUUUGAUCCAGAACUAGCUUGUUUAGUGAACAUUUGCUGGUCCAUGUGGAACUGAAGGAUAUCAGCUGAUCUCAGGAGCAGGACUGGAUAUGCAUCAUACAUCAGACAGCUGCCUGGAGGUGGAGUCUCUGAACUUUUUGAUCGCACCUUGAAGUACAGCAGUCAUCUCAGCUCUUUCCAAGUACAUUCAGUCAUUUAGUAGAGGAGUUUUUUGUCUGGCCGCAGACCAGAUGGUAUGUUUGGAAGACACCAGACACCACAACCCCGCUGUGAGGCAUGGAGGUGGCAGCAUCAUGAUGUGGACAUGCUUCAUGGUGGCACACCAUGGAAGGGGAAAUCCUGGAGGAUAACCUGGUAAACAUCUAAGAACUGUAACUCGAGAAAUGCCCCUGUUCGUAAAAUAACUGAAAUCUUACUUCUCUAUUAAUCUUUAAUUCAUUUUAGUUUUCAGUUCCUUCAUUUUGCCUGUUUUUUUCUUUAUUUGGCAAAGAUUUAGCCAUUUUGUUGACCUGCACAGUUGUAAUAUUCCUCAAUUUCCAUAAAGUAAUGAGAUGAUUCAUUCAUUUAUUCCAUCAUGUAUAUUUGCAUAAUGUCAUUUAGCCACAAGUAACAUUAGCCAACAUUAUGUUAAUUGCUAACUUACUAAUAGACUAAACAACUGCCUGCAUGGCUGCUGUAACUUAAGUUAUGAGAUUAAUUCAAUCAUGGGAUAACCCAG